CUUUGCGUGCACGUGUAGCGGAAAUGGAACACAGCUGAUAGCAAUCAGAAGGAGUACACAUAGAUGUAUAUAAAGGGGUGGCUCAGCACUCUUCUUCACAUUUGCAAGCAAACCAGAGGUCUUCAUUGCAGCUUACCAAUCAUACACAGAGAAACGGUCAAAAUGGCUUCUGGAAAAGUUUUCAUAAUACUGGUCCUGGUGGCACUUGUUGCCUUUGACUCAGCUAAUUGCUACUUUCGUCUGGGAAGGGAAAUGGAAACAAGGCAUGCAAAGCAACGCUCAGUUUCCCAUAUUGAGCAGAUGAUAACAGCCAAGGUUUUGCAAAAAGUUGCCAAUUGCAUAGCGCAGGCAUAUCCACAUCCUGCAGAUGAAUGACAUGCUUGCCAUGGGUUGACAUCAUCGGAAUCAAGGAAUUAAACUGCUUGGCAACUUAUUUGAAUUUUGAGUUGAUUGUCAUAAUAAUCAUUAUCAUGUUGAAACAAUAUUUAUAAUUGCAAAAUGAAAA